rfam:Punica granatum cultivar Dabenzi scaffold239, whole genome shotgun sequence.
GCCCCUGAGGAUGAUCCAUAUAAAACUUUCGUUCUUCCGAGAUGUUUCAUGCGGAAAAGCUUUUGGAGGCCUGAACUGAAGGGGC